rnacentral:rRNA from 1 species
CCUACGGGGGGCUGCAGUGGGGAAUUUUGGACAAUGGGGGCAACCCUGAUCCAGCCAUCCCGCGUGUGCGAUGAAGGCCUUCGGGUUGUAAAGCACUUUUGGCAGGGAAGAAACAGUCCGGGAUAAUACCCUGGGCGAAUGACGGUACCUGCAGAAUAAGCACCGGCUAACUACGUGCCAGCAGCCGCGGUAAUACGUAGGGUGCAAGCGUUAAUCGGAGUUACUGGGGGUGGAUCGGGCACAGGCGGUUGGAAUCCCAGGGCUUAACCUUGGAACUGCACUUUUAACUACCGAGCUAGAGUACGUCAGAGGGGGGUAGAAUUCCACGUGUAGCAGUGAAAUGCGUAGAGAUGUGGAGGAAUACCGAUGGCGAAGGCAGCCCCCUGGGAUGAUACUGACGCUCAUGCACGAAAGCGUGGGGAGCAAACAGGAUUAGAUACCCGUGUAGUC